GGAUGUUAGGGCAAUCUGGCUGCGACAUCUGUCACCUCAUUGAUCACUAGGGUAAAUACGGCUGAUCUGGCUGGCUAGGCAGGUGUCCCCUUCCUCCCUCACCACUCCUUAUGCAUGCCUCCCAAAGCUGCACGCUGGGUCAAAGAAGACGACCAUCCCCAAAAGAUGAGGAUGGGUCUUCAGUAAAGGGUAUAUGAUCACCUGUGCUCCCUUGCUAGAACCUCCAAACAAGCUCUCAAGAAACGUACAAAUGGAAAAAAAAAAAACUUUAAAAAUUCUUUUACCUUUCAAAGUAGCAACUAUAUU
rnacentral:snRNA from 1 species